GGAGAAAUUAAGGAGCUCUCUCCAGUCCAGUCCGAGGCAGAUCGAAGGCUAUAAACACAGCUGAUGACUCGUUGAUUCUUAAGCACGUCAACUAGGGUUGAGAAAUUGACGUAUUUUGGGAUUCAACGAUGCAUGAGCUAUGUUUAGCUAUCGCUGUCACGUCUUGGACUGAAGGGAGCUCCCUAUUAUGCCACU
rfam:Nicotiana sylvestris Nsyl_contig35048, whole genome shotgun sequence.